rnacentral:lncRNA from 12 species
AUUAUGGAUCCUUCCAGUGUCCCAGGCAUCCUGUACGUCAAGCCCCAAAGGGCCCACCAGCCCUCCUC